rnacentral:rRNA from 1 species
GUGUCAGCAGCCGCGGUAAGACGUAGGGUGCAAGCGUUGUCCGGAUUUACUGGGCGUAAAGAGCGCGUAGGCGGUCUGUUAAGUGUGAAGUGAAAUCUCCAGAGCUCAACUCGGAAACUGCUUCGCAUACUGGCAGGCUGGAGGAACGGAGAGGUGAGUGGAAUUCCUGGUGUACCGGUGAAAUGGGUUGAUAUCAGGAGGAACACCGAUGGCGAAGGCAGCUCACUGGCCGUUAUCUGACGCUGAGGCGCGAAAGCGUGGGUAGCAAACAGGAUUAGAUACCCUGGUAGUCC